UCCAGCUUCCUAUAAACGCAUACUGGGAGGAUGGCUCCAGAAUUAAAAUUUGAACCAGUUAGUUGGUUCUGAUGAAGGUGUCUCCCAGAUCACAUGCCAUCAGCUGGGAGCUGAAUCGGAAAUGGAGCAGCCAGGAUGCAGGCUGGUACCCACAGAGGAUGCAGGCAUCUCAGGUGGAGGCAUAAUGCCAGCCUCUGAAUCUAUUUUUCUACAGGUCUUUAUUGGAGGCAUAAUUUCUUUCCACAGCACAAGCAAAACUGAAUUAUUCAUUGUAAGAGACCAGUCAUCUCUGGAUUUCCAUGUUUUAUAGUCUCUUAAAAGUAGAGAACAAAGAUGAAGAAAAUAAACGAGAAAAUGAAUGGAAAAUGGAACUGGACGCUAAGUGAGAGAACAAAAACCAGAGAACAAGGUGGAAGCCAUUAUAGCAACAACAACAACAAACCGCCAGACCAAACAAACAAACAGCAACAAAACUAGUAGCUACCCCGAGUGUGACCUGGAGCUCCCUGGCCCAGCCUGACAGAAAUGACCUGCAAUCCUGCAAGCUGGUGGGAGCCCCUCUUCCUUUGACAACUUGGACCAUCCUGAGCCCCCUGCCCAGGGUCACAGUCAUUUCUGCAGCUGAAGAGCCUGAGUUCCUAAAUAGAAACACCCUGCAAGGAUGACCAAGUGUUUGAGGAAUUUUACAACAGAGAAGUCAGAAGUCUGACAGAAAAGACAUUGCAUGCAGAAAUAAAGACAAGACUCUAUUGUUAAAAAAAUUAUUUUUUAUUUAUUUGAAAGGCAAAAUGACACAAUGACAAGGAGAGAAAGAGAGAAAGAGAUCUUCCAUCUGCUUAUUCGCUACUCAAAUGGCUAUCAUAGCCAGGUCUGGACCAGGCUGAAGCAGGGAAUCAGGAACUUUUUCAAGCACUUGGACCAUCAUCUGCUGCUUCCUAGGUGGACUAGCAGGAAGCUGGAUCAGAAAUGGAGUAGCCAGCCGGCGCCGCGGCUCACUAGGCUAAUCCUCCGCCUUGCGGCGCCGGCACACCGGGUUCUAGUCCUGGUCCGGGUGCCGGAUUCUGUCCCGGUUUUCCCUCUUCCAGUCCAGCUCUUUGCUGUGGCCAGGGAGUGCAGUGGAGGAUGGCCCAAGUACUGGGCCCUGCGCCCCAUGGGAGACCAGGAGAAGUACUGGCUCCUGCCAUCGGAUCAGUGCGGUGCAGCGGCCGCAGCGCGCCGGCCAUGGCGGCCAUUGGAGGGUGAACCAAUGGCAAAAGGAAGACCUUUUUCUCUGUCUCUCUCUCACUGUCUACUCUGCCUGUAAAAAAAAAAAAAAGAAAGAAAGAAAGAAAGAAAAGAAAAAGAAAUGGAGUAGCCAGGAACUGAACCAGCACUCCAAUUAGGGAAGCCAGCAUUGCAAAUAGGGACUUAGCCCACUGCCCUACAAAGCUGACCCAAAUAUUCUAUUUUUAAAAACAAAUAUACAAAUAACAAAUUUUAUAAAAUUAAAAUCUGAAAGCAGAAUGAACAUCUUAAGAGUACUCUACAUUUCAGGCAUGGAAAGCCAAGACACUGUGGCAAAAUAUGACCUACAUGAAAGAUCUCUGUGAGUGAGAUCCCAGUGGAAAGAACGGGUCAUCAAAGAAGGAGGUACCUUUCUCUGAAGGGAAGAGAGAACUUCCACUUUACUUAUGGCCUUAUCUAAAUAAUGUCCGAGUUUGUGAACUCAAGAGGCUUCCAUAGCCUUGACAGUUCAUGACAAGAGCCUCCGGUGAUUACUGACAUCCUAAAUAAGAGUGCCAAUUGUUAAAUCAACAACAGAAGUCACUGUGCACUUGCUCCCCAUGUAGGACCUCUUCCUUAAUGUGUUGUACUAUGAGAAUUAAUGGUAAAACUAGUCUUCAAAGAAUACUUUAUACUUUGCAUAUCUGUGUGGGUGCAAACUGUUGAAAUCUUUACUUAGUAUAGAGUUGAUCUUCUGUAUAUAAAGAUAAUUAAAAAUGAAUCUUAAUGAAGAAUGGGAUGGGAGAGGGAGUAGGA